UGUUUGGUUGUUAUACAAGAUGGCGGCUCCCAUAGUGGCACUUUAGGGUUGCUUCAAAGCUUUAACUGCAAGAUGCAAACACAUAAAAAAAUUCUAAGGGCGCACAAUAUAACUUAUAUGCUUUGAGUUGUGAUGUCGAAUACAUUGUAUCUUUAGAAGGACAUGACUGGUUCAGCUCUACAGCCACGAUGGAAGCGGGUACUGGGAUGGUCUGGCCCUGUCCCUCGGCCCAGACAUGGUCACAGAGCCGUUGCUAUAAAGGAAUUGAUGGUUGUUUUUGGAGGAGGAAAUGAAGGAAUUGUGGAUGAGUUGCAUGUCUACAACACAGCAACAAACCAAUGGUUUAUCCCUGCGGUUCGUGGUGAUAUUCCCCCUGGAUGUGCUGCAUAUGGUUUUGUUUGUGAUGGCACCCGGCUUCUGGUGUUUGGUGGAAUGGUGGAAUAUGGAAAAUACAGCAAUGAUCUCUAUGAGCUACAGGCCAGCAGAUGGGAAUGGAAAAAGUUGAAAGCUAAGACUCCCAAAAAUGGCCCACCUCCCUGUCCUCGACUUGGCCACAGUUUCUCGCUGGUGGGUAACAAGUGCUACUUGUUUGGAGGACUGGCUAAUGACAGCGAGGACCCCAAAAACAACAUCCCCAGAUACCUGAAUGAUCUGUACACGCUGGAGCUUCGUGCUGGCUCCAGUGUUGUGGGCUGGGAUAUACCAAUUACUUAUGGUGUUUUGCCACCUCCUCGCGAGAGCCACACUGCCGUAGUGUACACAGAAAAGGACAGCAAGAAAUCUCGCCUGAUCAUCUAUGGAGGGAUGAGUGGCUGUCGUCUGGGAGAUCUAUGGACACUUGACAUCGACACCCUGACCUGGACUAAGCCAUCAGUGAAUGGCACAGCACCUCUGCCCAGGAGUCUUCACUCUGCCACCACCAUCACAAACAAGAUGUUUGUGUUUGGGGGGUGGGUUCCCCUGGUUAUGGAUGAUGUGAAGGUGGCCACACAUGAGAAGGAAUGGAAGUGCACAAACACACUGGCCUGCCUAAAUCUUGACUCCAUGGCCUGGGAAUCAGUGGUGAUGGAUACUCUGGAGGACAAUAUCCCAAGGGCCCGGGCAGGACAUUGCUCGGUGGCCAUCAACUCUAGGUUGUAUGUCUGGAGUGGCCGUGACGGUUACCGUAAAGCAUGGAACAACCAAGUCUGCUGUAAAGACCUCUGGUACCUUGAAACAGAGAGGCCACACGCUCCCUCGAGAGUGCAGCUAGUCCGUGCCAACACCAACUCCCUGGAGGUAAGCUGGGGCGCUGUGUCCACUGCAGACACCUAUCUGCUGCAGCUACAAAAGUACGACAUUCCUGCUGCCACUGCUGUGACCUCGCCGGCCCUCAAUGCCGCCACCUCUCUGCAAGGGAACUUGCCUAAGGGCCCAGCCACAGCUGCUCCCUCUGCUCAGAACCUACCACACACAGGUAUCACUAUUGUGCCCCAGGCUUCUUCUCCUACAAUCCUUCCCAACAUUCCCAGAAGCCCGCUGGCUGCCUCCACAGCUCAUGGGCCAGCUAUCUUGAAGGUUGCAGCGCCUCCGUCUGGCACGGGUACCUCCUUGUCACUGUGCGACCCAACCAGGCUGGGAAAUCCCCAGUCACACUUCUUCCAGGAGUUCGCAUGGUUGUUCCUGCCCAGACCGCCCAAGGAACACCAGUCUGCAGCAGCCCUCCGAUGAGUGGCAUGGCAGCUUUGGCUGCAGCUGCAGCAGCCACACAGAAGAUCCCACCCUCUUCAAGCACUGUACUCAACAUUCCAGCAGGUGCCACCCUUGUCAAAACCAUGGCUGGCUCCACCACAGUCAAAAUGGCAUCUCCUCUCAUGGUUAGUAACCCAGCCACUCGCAUGCUGAAGACGGCUGCAGCUCAGGUGGGCACAGCGACCGUAUCGUCACCCAACUCGCCCAACAGACCUAUCAUCACUGUGCACAAGUCGGGCACGGUUACCGUAGCCCAGCAACACCAGGUGGUUACCACCAUGGUGGGAGGAGUCACCAAGACCAUCACCCUGGUCAAGAGCCCCCUCACAAUGGGAGGCAGCGGCACUUUGCAGAUCUCCAACCUUGGCAAGAUGAUGUCUGUGGUACAAACCAAGCCAGUGCAGACAUCGGCUGUUACAGGCCAGGCUUCCACUAACCCUCUCACACAGCUCAUACAGACCAAGGGUUCUCUCCCUGCCGGCACCAUACUGAAGCUGGUGACCUCAGCGGACGGCAAGCCCACCACCAUCAUCACCACAUCCCAGGCGGGAGGAACCGGGAACAAACCCACCAUCCUGAACAUCAGCGGCAUGUCACCCACCAUAACCAAACAGGGUACCACCAUCAUCAAGACCAUCCCUAUGUCUGCUAUUAUGACCCAGCCUGGAGCCACAGUGACCAGCAGCACAGGGAAGACGCCCUAUACCAUCAUCAGCACCAAGAUGAUGACCACUGGCACUCCAGGCAAAAUCAUCACUACCAUGCCCAAGCUUGGCACUGCAACUGGCCAGCAAGGGCUGACACAGGUGGUUUUGAAGGGAGCCCCGGGCCAACCUGGCACCAUUCUGCGCACUGUACCCAUGGGUGGAGUCAGACUUGUCACCCCGGUCACGAUGUCUUCUGUCAAGCCCAAUAUAACUACACUGGUCGUCAAGGGAACAACUGGUGUCACCACCCUGGGGACUGUCACAGGGACGGCCUCCUCCAGUCUGGCAGGGAGCAUUGUAGCCAGUGCCAAUGCCUCUCUGGCAACUCCAAUCACCACCCUUGGCACCAUCGCCACCCUGUCCAGCCAAGUUAUCAACCCCACUGCCAUCACUGUGUCAGCAGCCCAGACCAGUCUGACCACAGCUACUACCCUUUCCGCUUCCACCAUGUCAGCAAACCAGCCUACCCAGGUGACUCUCAUCACCACCCCCAGCGGGGUUGAGGCCCAGCCAGUGCAGGACCUGCCUGUGUCCUUCCUGGCCUCCCCCACCUCUGAGCAGCCUUCUUCCACUGAGGUCGGGGAUGUCCCUGGCACUGUCACCAUGGUCUGCUCCAACCCCCCCUGUGAGACCCACGAAACAGGAACCACCAACACCGCAACCACAGCCUCCUCCGAUAUAGGUGGGGUGCAGAGGGUCUGCUCCAACCCCCCCUGUGAGACCCAUGAGACGGGCACCACCAACACCACAACGACCGCCUCCACCAACAUGGGCGGGGCAAUGAAGACGACCACCUCUUCUUCCCCGGGAAACGCCACAGGCAACCAGGGACCAGAGAACCUGAGCACCGGCACCACAUUCACCCCCACCACGGCAUGCUCCGACAUGGGCUCAGCCCAAACCGGAACUGUGCAGAGUCCCAAGCCAGCCGUGGGCUCUACGAUGUGCUUAAACCCACCCUGCGAGACACAUGAAACAGGCACAACCAACACUACCACUCAGUCCUUGUCCAGCAUGGGUAAUGGGCAGACUGGCACUGUACAGAGGGUGUGCUCAAACCCACCCUGCGAGACUCACGAAACUGGGACCACCAGCACCCCGUCCCAGGCCAGCUCAAACAUGGCCGGAAACCAGACGGGGACGGCGCAGAGGGUGUGUUCCAACCCCCCCUGUGAAACCCACGAGACUGGCACCACCAACACGGCAACUACUGCCACAGCAGAUGGAGCAGACAGUGCCACCAGCAGUACAGAAACUCCUUCCACCACUGCAUCAGAAACAACCCCAGCCACCAUCCAGAGCAGAGCCAUCACUACUGUGACUCAAUCCACACCAGCCCCGGGGCCCUCAGUACCUUCCAUUUUGUCGAUCGCUGAGGGUGCUGCGGGUUCCACAGAAGAGCCCAUGCAGACAGACGCGGCCACGGAGGGGGGAGAGGCCGUUAUGGAGACUGGGCUGUCCCCAGAGCUGUCAGAGGGACAGAUAGGGACAGGUCUGUCUGCAGAGGAGCUGGCUGUGACCGCAGCGGCGGAGGCAGCGGCGCAGGCUGCAGCCACAGAGGAGGCCCAGGCCCUGGCCAUUCAGGCAGUCCUCCAGGCAGCACAGCAGGCAGUCAUGAACGAGGGUGAUUCUGGCUCGACCGGACAGCAGGCCAUCACAAUCCCCAUCGUCCUGACCCAGCAGGAGUUGGCAGCCCUGGUCCAGCAGCAGCACCAGCUCCAGGAGGCUCAGGCCCAGGCUCUGGCCCAGCAGCAAGGAAAUGCCCAGGCCCUACCCACUGAGGGCCUUGCCCCCGCAGACAGCCUCAACGACCCUGCGUCUGAGAACAACGGACACCCCGAGAUGGCUGCAGCUGUCUCCAGCGCUGUGGCAUCACUGCUGCCGCGCACAUCCACUGAGACCCUGGCCCCCUCAAGCACAUUUUCUGUUGCCAGUCCAGCCAAGCUACAAGCUGCUGUAGCAGAGGUGGCCAAUGGCAUUGAGGGUGGGAAGCUAAACCCUCAACCAGCCCCUAUCAAGACUCUUGUAAAAAAAGAGAACCAGUGGUUUGACGUUGGCAUCGUCAAGGUGACAAACAUGGUGGUUACGCACUUCAUCCCAGAGGACGAUUCUCAAGUGGAGGAUGACUCGGGUGCCAUCCCAGACCAUAACCAGAUGAAGAAAAUGGAGCUGCAGCCUGGCACAGCCUACAAGUUCCGUGUCGCUGGUAUCAACGCUUGUGGUCGUGGUUUCUUCUCAGAGAUAUCUGCUUUUAAGACCUGUUUACCAGGCUUCCCUGGAGCACCUUGUGCCAUCAAAAUCAGCAAGAGCCCAGAUGGUGCCCACCUCACCUGGGAGCCUCCCUCUGUGACAUCAGGGAAGAUCAUUGAGUACUCUGUGUACCUGGCCAUCCAGAGCACCCAGACAGCUGAGCCCAAAGCCUCCACCCCAGCCCAGCUGGCCUUCAUGCGGGUGUACUGUGGGCCCAACCCCUCCUGCUUGGUGCAGUCCUCCAGCCUCUCCAAUGCCCACAUAGACUACACCACCAAGCCCGCCAUCAUCUUCCGCAUAGCUGCGCGCAACGAGAAGGGUUACGGCCCUGCCACACAAGUCCGAUGGCUGCAAGAGUCCAGCAAAGAUGGAGCCUCGGCAAAACUUGCCCCAAAAAGACCAGUUUCCUCGCCUGAUGCUAAGGCUGCUGGUCAAAAGAAAGCAAGAACUGACCCGUGAGAUUGCACAGAUGACACCCCCCACUGUCCUUUUUGACCAGGAAGACUGAUUCCUCCAUCCUCAUCCUGACUUCACCCCAUUCUCAAGUUAACCUUCAUCCAGCCAGCAACAUAAACAAAAUGGCAGCAGAAACCCUAGAUGGAAGUCAAUAAGAGAUAUGGUUCUGUAGACAAGACCCUUUUUCUAUUUGUCCCACUAUUUCUGGAGCAACACAUUUAAAAAAGCACGUUAUAGAUUUUACUUCAGAACUUUUUUUAUUUUUUUCUCUCUCUAGCUACUUUUAUUAUACAUCUUUUUGGCUACAUUCAGUAGUUCAGCAAUUGUAGAGAAACAUUUACAGCUUCACAAGCUGUGAGCCGGCUUGAGCUUAAUGUUCUUUUUUUGGUGGGGAGGGGGCUGUAGUGAGACUACACGAGCUGAUGUACAGUUUGAGGAUGUGCUGAACAAGAGGCAGUGGUGGUGUUAGUUUAGAUGGGAGGAACAAUCAAAAUGGAGAAAACAAACAAAAGGGGUGAUUUUUCCCUCAAGGAGAAAUGUGCUUAAUUUAAGAAACCAAUCGAUUCUGAUAUCAUACUGGAUUCCAGUCUCCUAGUAAUCUCAUCCGUGUGCUUUUCCCCUGAGAUGAGAACUGAGGUCUGAUGCUAUGAAGAGGACAACGAAUCGAAUGACGAAGGAAAACAUGUAGUGAGACCGACUUUUCUAGGACUGAAACUUGCAGCAUACACACACAUCUUGCAAAAAUCUUCCCCAGAAAUUAGCAAGCACUGAUGCAGAAGAUAUUUGUGUAGUUUAUUUUUGUAUUUUUUUAAGCUUUUCAUUGUCACUGCAUUUUUAAAACGUCAACUCCUUUAUUUUGUUGUGUGUUUACUAUUGUUCGUCUCCAUUGUUUUCAAGUGUUGGUGGGAAGACGGGUGGCAGUGCUGAAGUAGCCACUAUAUUUUUAAAUCCUGGUUCGAUCAGUUGUAUGUUGUAUCAGAGGGUAUGAAAAAUAAAGACUUUUGUAUUUGUUCUGACUAGGUCCCCAGAUGUAAUAGGACUGAAGGGAAUUUGAAACAGACCCAGGGAGAGGAGUGCUUUUACUUUGUUUACCACAUCUUUCAAUGCUUGUAUCACUGUGUGUAUGCCAAACAUGGAAAAUUAAUGAAGAAAAAUCUGAUCCGUUGUCAUACUCCUUCCCCGCACAUAUAUUUUAGAACGGGUAUCCUUACCUGGCGGCCCGGCCCAUGUUUAGCCCCCCCCACAAAAAAAGAGUAUAUUUUUGUUGUUGGACAUAAUACUGUAAAAACAUCAGGAAAUCCGCUCCGAGUGGUUUUUAAUUUAGGAAAUCAGUUCCGAAGUAUUUUCAUGCAUAAUAGAGAUGUGAUUGUAUACACAUGUAGCAAGGUUUGAAAUUAUUGUUUUAGUCAUAUCUGGUUGGGCUUCUUUCGGUCAAUUUGCAGUCUACACAUUUUUUGUAAUUAUAUUCCGGCCUCGCGACCAACCACUCAAGAAAAAAAUUCGGCCUGCGGCUUAAUCGAGUUGGUGAUCCUUGUGUUAGACAGAAAAAUUAUAGUGGUAGAUUUUCUUUCCUUAAACUGUUAGGAACCACCAAAUCCAAUUUACAUGUCUUUUUAGGCUCUUAUUUGAACAACUAUAGAGGUGAGGUGUGCAAGUUAAUUGUGAAAAGUAUACCUUUUAAAUUGGGAUGUUUUGGUGGGAAGGAAGAAGCAUAGCCAGAGUUUGGACUCGCUUGUAAAUUAGUUGUUCCAGAGCAAGAAUAAAGUAACAUCUUGGCAUUUUUAUAUAAUUACCUGUACCAAAAUGUUUUUACAUGUUGGUCAUCUCUCACUUGCCUUUUGUGUCUAGACUUGUAAAAGAAACUAUCCCUGAUUCAAUUGCUAUGACUUGCAUUUAUUUAACAGAUUUGCAAGUCUGAAACACAGCAAGGUUCAUUACCGAUAAAUUUGUCUUCAGGAUAAAUCACACAGAGUUUUAUAAAGAGGGAAAUCUUGGAGUGGACAUGACUGUACUGAAAUGACCAGAGAACAAGUGAAGUCAGGGGAGAAUGUGUUACCUCUUGAGAUUGUAGUACUUGCAUCUUGGUUUAAUUUCUUCUCUGGGCAUCACCUUAGUCUCCAGAUUAUCCUGAUUUAUUUCUAUAAUGAAACAACUGUUUCAUAUACAUCCAUGAUUUUGUACGUGUCAGUGUCUGUUGAGCAAAGGUAGACAUGCAUGCAACCAGUGUAUUUUAGUAGUAAAAGCCUUAAGUUUGACCAUAAGCUGAAGGAUAAAAAAAAAAAAAAAGUUUUUACAUUUAAUGAGUUUGUUCCCUUCAUGUGGUAUACAAAUGUGUCCUUUUCUUCCACAGUACCUUUACCGGGUCACUAUUUUUGCACAGUGCCGAGUUCUUUCAGAACUUUACCUCCCACAGUGGGGCAGGUGCUGGUCUUAGCACUGACACUUGUGAGUUUCUUCCAGCUGUUUGCAGGUUGUCUGGAAUUGUCCUGUAUUUUCCGAUGUGUGUUUUUUGUACUGUAGGGAGUAAUGUAUCUUUUAACAUCAAAAUAAACAUGUUAAACAUCA